rnacentral:rRNA from 1 species
AGUGAACGCUGGCGGUAGGCCUAACACAUGCAAGUCGAACGGCAGCACAGUAAGAGCUUGCUCUUACGGGUGGCGAGUGGCGGACGGGUGAGGAAUACAUCGGAAUCUACUUUUUCGUGGGGGAUAACGUAGGGAAAAUUACGCUAAUACCGCAUACGACCUACGGGUGAAAGCAGGGGAUCUUCGGACCUUGCGCGAUUGAAUGCGCCGAUGUCGGAUUAGCUAGUUGGCGGGGUAAAGGCCCACCAAGGCGACGAUCCGUAGCUGGUCUGAGAGGAGGAUCAGCGACACUGGGACUGAGACACGGUCCAGACACCUACGAGAGGCAGCAGUGGGGAAUAUUGGACAAUGGGCGCAAGCCUGAUCCAGGCAUACCGCGUGAGUGAAGAAGGCCUUCGGGUUGUAAAGGCCUUUUGUUGGGAAAGAAAAGCAGCAGGUUAAUACCCCGCUGUUCUGACGGUACCCAAAGAAUAAGCACCGGCUAACUUCGUG